rnacentral:rRNA from 1 species
GACGAACGCUGGCGGCGUGCCUAAUACAUGCAAGUAGAACGCACAGUUUAUACCGUAGCUUGCUACACCAUAGACUGUGAGUUGCGAACGGGUGAGUAACGCGUAGGUAACCUGCCUGGUAGCGGGGGAUAACUAUUGGAAACGAUAGCUAAUACCGCAUAAUAUUGAUUAUUGCAUGAUAAUUGAUUGAAAGAUGCUAUUGCAUCACUACCAGAUGGACCUGCGUUGUAUUAGCUAGUAGGUGAGGUAACGGCUCACCUAGGCGACGAUACAUAGCCGACCUGAGAGGGUGAUCGGCCACACUGAGACUGAGACACGGCCCAGACUCCUACGGGAGGCAGCAGUAGGGAAUCUUCGGCAAUGGACGAAAGUCUGACCGAGCAACGCCGCGUGAGUGAAGAAGGUUUUCGGAUCGUAAAGCUCUGUUGUAAGAGAAGAACGGGUGUGAGAGUGGAAAGUUCACACUGUGACGGUAUCUUACCAGAAAGGGACGGCUAACUACGUG